CGUGCGCUGUCGCCGAAUCCCGCACGUGGAGCACCGGCGGUCCCCUCGGGGCCGCCCGCACCGUGGGAACCGGGGAACCACCCCUUCUCGUCGUAAAGGCGGGAAGGACGGGGUGAAUCGGACGCUCUCGACCGGGGGCGCCCGUAGGAGACCUUCCUGCUCCGAACCCGUCAGCUAACCCGGUAGGCGAGAAGGAAGGAAAG
rnacentral:sRNA from 2 species